CCCAUAGGGCUUCACUCCUGGCCAAGUCUAGUACAUGUGGAAAGCAGGUGGUUAGGAGACCACUGGUAAAUUGAAGCUUUGGGUUUUUCAUUCUCAGUCGUGUGUUUCCAUGAAAACAGGAACUGAUGUGCAGAAAGCUAUUGAUAUGGCUGUAGUCAUGUGUUUGUCAGAGAAAAAUGCACUAUCAGCUGUCAAAUCUAUCUCCUCCCACUGCAGAUCGGGGGGUGGGGGUGAGAUGCAGCAGGAGGAGGAAAGGUGAGAUGCUCUGGUAGGAGCAGCCGGAGGCAGGGAUAUGUCGGCCCCUGUCCAGCAGGACGGUUCUGGACAGGCCAGAGGGGAGUUGGCAGGACAGAGCAAGAUGAGGGUCUCUGGACAGCCAUGCCCGGAGCCGGUGGGCUGUUAGGUGACCAGGCUGCGGAAGAGGAGGGGCUCUGGCGAUACCUUUCCUGUUGCCGUAGGAAGUCUCUUAGACAAAAUGAAAGCUCUCUCAACGUGUAAUCUCAAUAUCUGUUUUUGUGAGAGUAUUUGGUUUUUCAGAAAUAUAUGGGCCAGAAAAAUUCUCUCCUUCAACAGCAUUUAUUGAGUGCCUCCUAUAUUCCAGGUACUCGACCUGGGUUGGGUAAAAUCCUAAAGAGCUUUUCCUGGACUGGGAUCUGAAUUAUGACUACAAAACCCAAGCUUUCUAUUAUACAUCUUCUAAAUCAAGUGAAACCAGAAACACCAAAAUGUAUUUGAGAGUAAAGAUCAGAAUUCUCAGUCUUUGAAAACAUUUCACCCAUUAUAGUUAAUUUGGGCCUGUUCCCUUUAUGUUAAAAAAAAAUUUCUUGUUCGAACACUUGUGGAUGGCUCUCCUCACCAAGUCACCUAUCUGCCAAAGCAGACCCGGGACAGCUCUUACCUUUGUGGUGGCAAAGACGUCUUCUACAGGCAGCUCCAUGCACAAGUUCUUGGCCCAGGCAGGAACGAGAGAGCAAGAGACAGAGUUACCUCCAACUGCACAGGUCUAAGAAAUAUGCACAGCAUCACCAGAACAUCUGGAGAGAUGGUACCAGAUAGCUUACCUUUCUUGCUGUGAGGAUGUUCAGCGUUUUGAUGAUCUCUUGUAAGGUUGUCAGUCAUGUGGGACCAAUCAGCGCCUCUCUUCCAGGAGAAAAAAUGCCUCACAAAAACAGGGGUUUGGAGGUUACCUCCCAAGAGCCAGGACAAAGAUCAGACCUCUCUGGGUAAGUUAAUUCUUUUUUUUUUUAAUAGCUAUUUCUUUUAUCCCCCAGUUUUAUUGAGAUAUAACUGACAUACAGCACUGUAUGUUUAAGGUGUACAGCAUAAUGAUUUAUCUUAUAUAUCGUGAAACGAUUACCAUAAGU